CUGCCAAAUAAAGUAUUUCUACAAGGAAUGGUCUAGAGAUUUUGAUGCUUUCCCUCAAAAGGCCAUUACACUCAGUUUUAUGAAAACAAAUAUGCAAAAUUUAAACAUUUUUAAACUAAGUCUGCAAAUGAGUCACUUCACAUGUUUUUUCACCCAUUUCUUUGUUCAGAAAGUAAAAUGAACUUUCUAGAGGUUAGAUAUAAACAUUUUCACCCUCUGUUCUGAACUGCAGUUAAAGCAAAAGUUUCAAAUUAUAUAACAAAAUUAAUUUUAGAGUUGAUGGGGGGGAAUCUUUUUUCAUAGGUUUUGUGAUUUGAUUUGCAAGUUUUUAUGUAACAAUGUAGAAUUAGCACACAUCACAAAAAUGUGCAAGACAAAGUUGGAGCCAUAUUUUAUUUUCACUUUAAUUUAAAUGGGAAAGCAAUAGAGCUUGCUUUGGCUCUAUGUCCUAUUAAUGUUGACUCAUCUGCUACUGAACUGCUCCUGAGCAUCCAACUAAUAGCAAUAAUAUUGUCUAGUGAGAUAAGUUAAUAUAUUUGUAAUGCAUACUAUCAUACGCAUGAUUUCCUUCAGCUUUUCCCUUCAAAUUUGAUCACUGAAAUAAUUAUCCUUAAAUAUUCUUUGCUCCCCCACAUCCAUACACAUAAGACUAUAUAGUAAUUAACUCUACCUAACAAAUGACUUGUACUAGUUUUUAUAAGAAGGCUUGUUGAUGGAAUAGAUUGACUGUUAGAAUCCAAGUAAAGUUAUGUAAGGUUAUUUUUUCCCAUUGAUUAGCUUUCAAUUAGUAAGAUUCUUCAUAAAAAAAUCCAUUAUGCAUGAUUACUUUUUAUUUAUAUAACAUAAUUUAAGAAGGCUAUUUUAAAUUUAACUUCCCAGUAGUCUUUUAGGCACCCUAGAAUUCCCAGGGAGGAGGGAUAAUCUCUUCUUGCCAUAUACUCAGAAGACUUUAGCCAGUUUUUAUAUAAGGAAUGGAACAUAAAUUUACUUGAUGAGCAAAGAUGGUUCAUCUAGUCAAAAGGAUCAUGUUGAUUUUUCUCUCUCUGCAUAAUUGUUUAAAUAAAAUAUGAAGUUCAAGAAAAAAGUUUAGGUUUCUUAAGCAACAUGAUUCAAGGAAAACUAGCAGUGUCUAAUUUUAAUUUUAUGAAUGGGAAGAGAGACAGCAGAGUAUAAUGGAAAAGAUUUUGCUUUUGAAGUCAGAACAUCUGGAUUGUAAUAACAGCUCUGAUACUCACCAUUUCUGUGAUCCUGGGCAAAUCACUUUGCCACAUUCUGCUUUAGUUAUAGAAAGAGGGGACUAGAGUAAAUAAUCUCUGAUUUUUUUUCCACUUCUAAAUCUAUGAUCCUUUGAAUUCAGCUACUUUCAGGUUUCUUAGAGGACAAGUUCCUGAGCUCCUUAAAAAUGGACACUUGAAAAAGGAAAUUAUAUCAGUAGG
rnacentral:lncRNA from 1 species